GGUAGUAAUAGAGGGAGAGGAGGAUAUGGUUCAUAGACAUGUGGGCAAGACAUUUAGAUGCCCUUAAGGCAUAUACGAAUUGUGGGGGUUGUGGCCAAUUGGAUCCAUUGCCACUAGGGAUAGACUCUACCAACGGGGUAGUGUUAGGCGGAACCACCUUCACCUUCACCUUCUGUGCUCAUUGUUACCAAGGGGGUGUAGCAUACCGCAUUAGGCGUAGCCAUGACCCCAUUGGUAUUUAUGCGGGCCCAGUGACUUCGUGGGGAGCCACGGGGCCAGUAACAGAGGAGGGGGACAGAUGGGUGGCUGGGGACAUAGGAAAUGGUACGCUGACCGGGCAGUGGGACGAGGCUCUGGUAGUCAAAGACCUGGAAGCCCAUUGGUCUCAGGAAGACCUCACCAUGCUAAAACAGAGCCCUUGGUUUAUGUGCGGGAGUGCUAGACCACUACUGAGUUGCCAAAUCUUCCCACCAAAAAGGGAAAGACUCAGCUGUGACCAGUGGAACCUAAGCAAUUAUGUGGCCGUAAAGGACCACUGGUUCCCUAGCGCAGACGAUAAAAUAGCCAUUAGAAAGGCUAGGAGAGAGCCAAUGUCCAAAGUGAUUGGGUGUACUGAGACAGGGGGAAGUGAAACUCUGGCUGACUUCAGUAGGAAGCACAGAAGAGGAACCCAAAGAGGCCUUAGGAGGCAAAAUGGGUUCAGGCUUAGGGAGCCAGGGAAUCAUAGACAUUCUUACGGGCACACUUGUAUUACCUCAGUGCCCCCCAGACCCCAGCAAAGAGGGCCUGAAAGGAAUGGUCCAGACACAAAGUUAGAGCUAAGAUAUAGGGAGAACCUCGCAGGCUUAGGCCAUAGACUGGCCGACUUGACCCUGGCCGCAGAAAGAGCUGUAGGAGCUCUGACGCAGAAAGACCCCCAGGGGAACGAUGGACCUCAAAGUCGCAGGGACAAAAAGAGAACCAGGAAGGGGCAAGGUAGACAAUAGGAGAAUAACCUUUCUUUCUCCAGGGCCCCAUGGAAGACACCCAGUCCGGGGGAGAAGAUUGGGAAGAAGUUAAUAGGCCAAUAGGGCACAGAGUAAUAACCAGAUGGCAAGAAUUAGAACGUAAGGGUAUGACUGAGUCCCAGACACUAGGGAUUAUCCUGUAGGGUGGAUAGCACCAGUAGUAAUAAUUCCUCACCCAGACGCUUUUAAAACAUGUGGCUCAUGUGAUAGAAGUACUGAAGGGGUACUCAGCGGGAGAUGAAUGUUAAGAGGACGACUGUUAGACAGCGUAUGUAUGAUGUGUCUAGCCCGCAGAGAUAAGUGGCCAACCCUAAAACCCAUAGUGAACAAGGGAGACAGAUGGGGACACGUAGAAGAGCCAGAAGAGUUACAUUUUACAAUGGUUUACAAGGGACAAGAAGUAGACUGGGAUAAGAGAACUGGCACUGUUGAAUUACAUGGGAUGGCUUACGAGACCUAUUCAACAGGUUGGAGAAGAAGGACAACAGAGACGGGUUCAAAGAUGCACAGGCUGUGAAUCAGGAUUCAGAGGAAAGUACACCUCCCAGUGGGGCAAUAAGGAUGGUGUUAGUGUUAUGCCGCUUGGCAAGAGAUGCUUAUGUUGUCAGAGUUGUGCUAGAAAAAGACAGGAGUGGUAUAGCGAGGACGAACAUGAGGUUUGGCCUAUGGAGAGAGAAUAUGCUGAUAUAUUUGAACAUGGUAGAAUAGCUACUAGAUGUAGACAUACAGAUGGUGUAUAUUUGAGAAUGAGGGCCAGAGCUGAUAAUAAGGCAACAAUGCCGGGACAAGUCACUAAGAGAAAAGAGACAAAGGUCUAAUCACCGGCAUUACUGGAAAUAGUUUGGCAUCCCGAGCGUACCAUUUCCUAUAUCCCGAGACAGGACUUAAACACUGAACCCAGGGGGUUUUCGUUGGAGGAUAGUGAAACAUCAGUAGACGAUCAGUUGACCAAGAACGACUCUAGUUUCCUUAUUCAAUAUAACCUGAAUCCAAUUUAGUUAAAAUAACGACUCCAAUUCAACCUCUCGGCAGUUAGAGGGGAGUCGCUACACUAAACUAAAUUUCUCAAAUUCUGACCGAUUGAAACUCUGCUCCUGAUCUCGUGGGUCUCCUCGUCAUCUCUCAAAGGCCCUUCACCAGAGAAUCCUAGAGAACAACUUCAUCAUUGUCAGGUCCAAAGACCUGGUGUGGAGGAGACAGGACUCUGAGAAGUUCUACUCUGAACAUGCAG